CGCUUUCUAGAGGAAUUGCAGAGACACUCGGUCGUCUUGGUGAGUCAGGCGCAGACUUUAAAAUGCCAACUGAAAACCUGAGCGGCAUUCCAAAAAGCUCCCUUUCCAUCCCACCCGCCCCAUCGACACCUGUCAAGAACAGAUCUGGGAAAAGAAGCACAGGGAGAAUGCAAGCAAGCUGGAGAACUGUCGUAACAACCCUAGAGAGCCUUUAACGACAAGCAUCAUCUUCGACACGCGGUAAAUGCAUUGACAUGAAGAGGAAAUGCAUGGUCACUUAAUGAAAACAGAAGCAAGGGAGAACGUUUAUAGAUGACCUUCAACGACAUGCUCAGAUCAAUUGCACACCUGUGAUCUCAUCUGGGGCCCGAGACAGGAGGAGAGAGAGGUGAGUGAGAGGAAUACUGAUGAAGAUUCAGCUGAAAGAACAGGUGCUGGUGGAGACAGGUGAGCAGAGAAGUGAUCCUGAAUAUCUAAUGGAGCCUCAGGGCAGUCAGCAUUUACCCUUCCUGCUGGCCUCUAGUGGAUGAGAGAUGAGAGAAAAAGAUGUCGAGAUGCUUCCAAUGGAGAGAGAAAUGAAAAGUAAUGUGAAAGUCGGCCCAGGCAGGAAAUGAAUGAGCGGCAACAGGAACUCAUUGAUGGGAGAGGAAAAAGGGGCAUCCAUAAAACGGUAAACAGAAAAUGACGGAGUGAGAGAGAGAGUUAAAGACGGAUGAAUGGAUGGCGAGAGAGAAGGGAAGAUCAGAAGUGUUUAUCCUGCCAGCACGCAGCACUAAUCAGAUGAAGA
ensembl:lncRNA